UGGGCAGUAGCCCAGUGGUAAAGCUCCCGCUUCGUAUGCGGGAAGACUUGAGUUUGAUUCCCGGCUGCUUAC
rfam:Toxocara canis scaffold294, whole genome shotgun sequence.